rnacentral:other from 2 species
UUCCCUGCAGAGUGCGUGAUUGCUGAAAUUUUAGAACCAACAAAUUUAAAACGGGAGCCCCAUCUCUGGAUAUGGCGUGUAGGCUUAAAUUUAUUUAAGAAACCCAUAAAUAUCAAGGAAGGCACCCACCUGUGAAAGCAGGUCCUUAAAAUUUCUUCACUGAACGGCUAUUAGCGGGGGU